rnacentral:lncRNA from 1 species
GCAGAUUAGAAGUUCUAGUUUUAUUUCUGGGGUUUUGGGGAUUUAUACGAUUUUUCAGCAUUGGAAUCACGUGAAAUGGAGCCAUUAGGUGGUCCCAAGCCAUUAGGGCGCACAUAGGGGGUGGACGCACCAUGUUGGCUUGGCACCAAUAGAUGGCUCCCCCAUGGUGGGUCUUUGAUCUAAUAUUUCGUAUUUGUUCCAAAAAAACGUGAAAACUUUUCGAGCGAUUCCUAUUUUCUGCACAAAAACAACAACACG